rnacentral:rRNA from 1 species
GAUGAACGCUAGCGGCAGGCCUAAUACAUGCAAGUCGAACGGUGUCUUCGGACAUAGUGGCGCACGGGUGCGUAACACGUAUGCAACCUACCUUACAUUGGGGGAUAGCCUUUCGAAAGGGAGAUUAAUACCGCAUAAGACAGUAGCUGGGCAUCCAGCAGCUGUUAAAGAUUUAUCGAUGUAAGCUGGGCAUGCGUCCAAUUAGCUAGUUGGUGAGGUAACGGCUCACCAAGGCAAUGAUUGGUAGGGGAACUGAGAGGUCAAUCCCCCACACUGGCACUGAGAUACGGGCCAGACUCCGACGGGAGGCAGCAGUAGGUAAUAUUGGGCAAUGGACGCAAGUCUGACCCAGCCAUGCCGCGCGCAGGAUGAAGGCGUUAUGCGUUGUAAACUGCUUUUAUACAGGAAGAAACGACUCUUGCGAGGGGCAUUGACGGUACUGUAUGAGUAAGCACCGGCUAACUUCGUGCCAGCCGCCGCGGUAACAC